rnacentral:lncRNA from 1 species
GAGGUGAUUCCCCGGAGGUGAAGGAGACACAAGGACAAGCAUCUCUGGGUAUAUAUUUGGCUCCGUGAUCACGUCUCUUCCAGUUAUCUCUCGGUCCUUCUCCUCCUUCGUUCCCUCCUUCGGCGCCUCCUUCGAAGACAUCAUGAAGUUCCUGUACAUCGUGCUCCUGUGCCUCGUGGCGGUCGCUGCGGCCAGAAGCUGGUACGACUUCGAUCUCGAUGACGACGACUUCUUCAAGCCCGCCCGCAGGACUUGGAAGGCCGUGGGCGGCUGGAGAGGGGCAUCUCCCACGAGGCGUCUUGUUUACGACAGCGACGAGGAUUCGGACAGUUACGAAGAUUAGGGGCUCUGGCUUCGACUUAGGAUGUAAAAAAAAGAUUCAAGCCUCAGCCUUUUCUUCGUCUCAUCCUCUUCCGCCCACGCCCAUCUUCUCUUCCGUAUCCUUCAGCCCUUUACCCUUCCCCCUCCCUCCUUCCCUUCUUCCUCUCCUUCAUCCCCCUCCCCCUCUCUCCUCCCCCCUCCCUUCCCUCCUCUACCCCCCCCCCCCAAGGUCAUCAGCUUCAUCAUAGGUGUUGGCUUACAAAUAUGAGCUCAUAUUAAUAUUCUAAUAAUUAAUUAAAGUUUAUUCUCUGA